rnacentral:rRNA from 1 species
AGUGAACGCUGGCGGUAGGCCUAACACAUGCAAGUCGAACGGCAGCACAGUAAGAGCUUGCUCUUACGGGUGGCGAGUGGCGGACGGGUGAGGAAUACAUCGGAAUCUACUUUUUCGUGGGGGAUAACGUAGGGAAACUUACGCUAAUACCGCAUACGACCUACGGGUGAAAGCAGGGGAUCUUCGGACCUUGCGCGAUUGAAUGAGCCGAUGUCGGAUUAGCUAGUUGGCGGGGUAAAGGCCCACCAAGGCGACGAUCCGUAGCUGGUCUGAGAGGAUGAUCAGCCACACUGGAACUGAGACACGGUCCAGACUCCUACGAGAGGCAGCAGUGGGGAAUAUUGGACAAUGGUCGCAAGCCUGAUCCAGCCAUACCGCGUGGGUGAAGAAGGCCUUCGGGUUGUAAAGCCCUUUUGUUGGGAAAGAAAAGCAGCAGGUUAAUACCCCGCUGUUCUGACGGUACCCAAAGAAUAAGCACCGGCUAACUUCGUG